AUAUUACAUAAAUCUAAACAUUAAAAGUUUGUUUUCAUAAUUAAGUAAUGAGUCUAAAUACUGGAAUUUAAAUGUUGUUGUUUUUGUUUCUUUUAUUUGUGCACAAUGGUAAAUAAAAUAUUUAAAAUAUCAAAUUAAAAAAACUUAAAUAUGCAUUAAAAACUAAUGUUGAUUCAUUAAAAUACUGAUUUAAAAAACGAACACCAAAUCUUAAAAGAUAUUAAAUAUAAAUAUUAAGCGUAACUGUUACAUGUUCUUGCAGAAAUCCGAUGCUGGUCUGCUUCGUUCCAAACAAGCCUGAUAAAACAUUUGAAGAAAACUGAACUAAAGGUUGGCAGUGUUGCUCAAAUCUGACUGCAGUACUUCCUUGUCCUUCGCUGGUUUCCUAAUUAGCUACACCUGCCUUCAAGUAGUCACACAGCUGGCCAAUUAAGCAAGAAGGUAAGAAAAUAAAGUUUUGCAAAGAGUUUAGCUGACUCACUGUCUGUUCAUUAGUUUCUAGGUCCGUAGUUUGGUAGCAGCUGACAGAAGUGGCUGAAUUUGCUGCUUCCUGUAGCUGAAGCUAUGAUGUUUAUAUUAAGAUGGUUGCUGUUGUUCUUGCUAGCUGUCAAAAGUCAUCAAGAAAAUGAUCAAGAAGUGCCCCAUACGGAUGAUCAACUGGAUUUAAGCAGCAUUUACUUUGGAAAUGAGACUUUAUGGAGCAGUGGGAUACUUGAUAAUUCAACCUUGAAUGAGAGUAACUACAACACAACAUUAACAGUGGAUUAUCAGCCUGAAGCCGAAACACUGGCACAAAACAGGUCUUUGCCAGAUCUCCAGUAUUCAUUAAGUCAUACUGAACCUCCACUAAAAGAAGCAGAGUCUGGUUUUCAGGUACAGGUGCUCCAACAGCAGCGUACUUUCUCAUCCAGGCAGUCACAAGAGCCCCAGGUGCCGCCACCUACCUCCCCACCCAGUGAGACUACCUGCCCAUCACAGGUGCUCUUGCAGGUGCCAAUGCCGCGCAGUCCUCCACUUUGGCAGCUGGAGGUACCACAGCAGCCCCGUUCUCCACUCCAUCGGCUGGGGGUGGCUAAGGUGUCCCAGGUCUCCCCAGAGUUCUACUCCCCAUCUAAACAGCUGUGGGUGCCAGAUGAGCCUGGUUCAUCACACCAGCGGCUGGAUUUAAUCCAAAUGCAUGAAUCCCCUCUCCAACGGCUACAAUUUGCAGAGGUGCGCCAGCAGCCUAGAGCUGAACUCAGACGGGCACAGAUGGCUCAGGUACCCCAGCAGCCAAGUAUCCGGCUCCAACAGCUGCAAAUGGCCCAGUGGCCCCAACGGCCACUCUACCAGCUCCUGAUCCCUCGCUACCAGGCCAAGUACUCGCACUACCAGCCUAUGAUAUCCCGUUACCAGGAAAGGCUGCUAGGACACCGACCCAAGACUCCGCUCUUUCGGAUCAAGCAUCUUCGACACCCCCAGCAGAUCAGAUAUACACGUUAG
rnacentral:lncRNA from 1 species